rnacentral:rRNA from 1 species
UGGUGCAUGGCUGUCGUCAGCUCGUGCCGUAAGGUGUUGGGUUAAGUCUCGCAACGAGCGCAACCCUCGUGUUUAGUUGCCACUAUGAGUUUGGAACCCUGAACAGACCGCCGGUGUUAAGCCGGAGGAAGGAGAGGAUGAGGCCAAGUCAUCAUGCC